CACUGAGACCAGCCGUCAGCACCGAGAGAAGAAACCACCAACAUCGAACGCACAACAUUGCAAUCUUCCAGACAGGAGCACAAAUUCCAGCAGACUGAAACAAUCUGUCGUCCAACGCAGUGAAGAUGCAGUGGAGUCUGUUUCUGCUCAUUCUGAUGGGUCAGGUGUUUUUCGUCAUGUGU